rnacentral:tRNA from 1 species
GGUCCCGUAGCUCAAUUGUAUAGAGCAUCUGACUUCGGAUCAGACGGUUGCAGGUUAGAAUCCUGCCGGGAUCA